ACCUUUUUAUUUUGCCCUUUUAUUUUUUAAUAUUUCUAUAGUACCCUUUUGGGAUAUUAAAAACAAAUUAAACAAAAAGUCCAUUGUUUUUUUUCUUUCUUUCACUUCCCUUCGAGUUAUACUCCUUCAAAAUCUUCGCCAACUCUUCUCUUCUCCUUCCUCAUCCUUCCCCCAGAAACACUAGAUUUAGGGUUAGGGUUUGAGUUUUGAAUUUCCGAUUCAAACGUAAUCGACGACGGUGUCUAAGUAUUCAAAUGUGUGAGCAUUAGACGCUGAACUGAAGCGGUCAGAUCCCAAACAAAAUAAAAACAGAGAGAGAGAGAGAGAGAGAGAGAGAGAGAGAGAGAGAGAGAGAGAGAGAGAGAGAGAGAGAGAGAGAGAGGAAACGAUGAAGUAAUGGCGGGCAAGGAAGAGAGCGCAGUGAAGGAGACUGCUCUUGCCAAUCUUAUUGUAAGGUUUUUUGUCAUAGCUUUAAAAAAUGACCCAUUGUGUUUUCAGUUAGGUAUUUAUGCUAAUCUGAUCAUAUACCAAGAUAAUUCCUUGCAAGCAGUAUGGUCAAACAAUGAAGGUGAUCGAAGACUUAUUAGGGUGGAUAUUGUUAAUUGAGGAUUUCAAUAUUUGACCUUCGUCUUGGAAUGGAUGGCAGUGAUGAGAAUUCAAUUGUAAAGUGAUGCAGGUAUCUGAGAUGAUGUGAGAGGUGUAGAAUAAGGCAGCAACACAAACAUGGAAAAGUUUGAAGUUUCUAUUUAACAUGAUUGCAUGCCAGCAGCAAUACAAUAUGUUGGAAUGUUUAACAUCCUGAACAGCUCAUAUCUGGUAGCUAGAUCAUUCUUUUGAAGUUAGUGAAGAGCAAUAAUUUUAUGGAAAGCCAGCUUUCCUACUUGUAUAUAUGUUUCUAAUUUUCCAAAGAUGAAGUGUUGAUAAUGACCCUGCAUCUUUUUUACUGUGCCUUAACGAUGAGUUGUUACCACUCUUAGUAAAAUAAUGAGCACUAGUGUAGUUAUGAUUCA